rnacentral:rRNA from 1 species
GACGAACGCUGGCGGCGUGCCUAAUACAUGCAAGUCGAGCGAACAGACGAGGAGCUUGCUUCCUAGACGUUAGCGGCGGACGGGUGAGUAACACGUGGAUAACUUACUUAUAAGACUGGGAUAACUUCGGGAAUCCGGAGAUAAUACCGGAUAAUCUAUUGAUCUGCAUGGUUCAAUAGUGAAUGAUGGUAUUGUUGUAUCUUAUCGAUGGAUCCGCGCCGCAUUAGCUAGUUGGUAAGGUAACGGCUUACCAAGGAAACGAUCCUUAGCCGACCGCAGAGGGGGAUCGGCCACACUGGAACGGAGACACGGUCCAGACUCCUACGGGAGGCAGCGGAAGGGAAUCUUCCGCAAUGGGCAAAGGCCUAACGGGGCAACGCCGCGUGAGUGAUGAGGGUCUUCGGAUCGUAAAACUCUGUUAUUGGGGAAGAACAAAUGUGUAAGUAACUAUGCACGUCUUGACGGUACCUAAUCAGAAAGCCACGGCUAACUACGUG